CGAAGUCCGAUUUCCGAGCAGAGGAGACCCUGGGGCUCUCGGGAACGGACCUAGUCCCAGUGGUUUUGCCAUUCAAGGAGAGUUUAUGGGCGGGAAGAAGAUCGAGACCCAUUAGUCGAGCCACCAAACUUGGUGUCUUGGUGCCCGGAGAAGUGCCCAUUUUAGACGAAGAAAAUGAUGUUUCCAUGGCCAGAGGUUGAUGAAAAGGGAGGCUCCUCCGUUAACUCCAAGCUGUUUCUUGGUGGCUGCAACCCUAAAAUUGUCAAAAACACUCCUCUGUUAUACACAGUCUCUUGCAAACCCCAAGGAGCUUUUAUGCCACGGACCACGGGUUCAAACCUCUCCAAAUGAGAGAGAAAGGGAGUACCUUUUGGAUGCUCGGGGAGAGAAUCAAUGGUGGGAUGGUGGUGAUGUGAAGGAAAGUAAAAAUGGUGGAAAUCCAAGAAUUGGAACAGAGCAGCCAUGCAACCAGAAGCUGCAUUUCUACUGUGAAAAGGACUGACAGAGAGGAUAACAAGUUUUGCAAAACAAGAACUUUGCAGUAGAAAAAUCCAAGAAAUGGUGCGUCUUGUUUUUUUUUCUUUCUAAAUAUCUAUUUUCUUUUUUCUGUUUUCAUUGGGGUUUGCCUAUUUCGGUUUUGGGUUCCUGAGAUUUUUUUUUUUAUCAGACAGAUAUCGGAAGCAGCUCUGCAAUUCUCUCUCUUUUGCAUUGGGAAUCGAACAAAAGGGUCAGGAAGAAGAAUAAUAUUGGAUAAUUACUAGGAACAGGGAGGAGAGAUGACGAUAUGGACACGCGUCAUCAUCAUCACCAUCUCUCAAACAGAGAGUAUGAUUCUCACCACACUUGAUGUCUGAAUUUGGGGUAUCAAGUUUUGAACUUUAAAAAAACGGUUUUUUUUUUCUUGGGCAUUUUCAAACUCGUGAACCCUCUUCCUCUCUUCCUUUUAUUAAUUUUCUUGUGGCAACAAAAAAAAAAUCCAUCACGUAGGCAGAAUAUUCUAUCAUAUGUAAGCAUGUUUCGUGGUACGGGUAUUGGUAAAUUUGCAUAGAGUUUCAUAUUUUUUCAAACUUGAAGUUCUUAUUGACCUCCAGUCCCUUGUAUUAUUUCUAGGGUUUUUUGUCUGUUCUUAAUGUUCUUAACCCAUAUUUUGAAUUUUUUUUUUGGUUUA